rnacentral:rRNA from 1 species
GAUGAACGCUGGCGGCGUGCUUAACACAUGCAAGUCGAACGGAAAGGCCCAAGCUUGCUUGGGUACUCGAGUGGCGAACGGGUGAGUAACACGUGGGUGAUCUGCCCUGCACUUCGGGAUAAGCCUGGGAAACUGGGUCUAAUACCGGAUAGGACCACAUUUUGGAUGGUGUGGUGGAAAGUUUUUCGGUGUGGGAUGAGCUCGCGGCCUAUCAGCUUGUUGGUGGGGUAAUGGCCUACCAAGGCGUCGACGGGUAGCCGGCCUGAGAGGGUGUACGGCCACAUUGGGGCUGAGAUACGGCCCAGACUCCUACGGGAAGCAGCAGUGGGGAAUAUUGCACAAUGGGCGCAAGCCUGAUGCAGCGACGCCGCGUGGGGGAUGACGGCCUUCGGGUUGUAAACUCCGUUCGCUAGGGACGAAGCGUUAUGUGACGGUACCUGGAGAAGAAGCACCGGCUAACUACGUG